GAUGAACGCUAGCUACAGGCUUAACACAUGCAAGUCGCGGGGCAGCAUGGGGGUUGCUUGCAAUCCCCGAUGGCGACCGGCGCACGGGUGAGUAACGCGUAUCCAACCUGCCCUUCACCACGGGAUAACCCGGCGAAAGUCGGACUAAUACCGUAUGUUGUCCAUUGACGGCAUCCGAUUUGGACGAAAGGCUUGGCGGUGAGGGAUGGGGAUGCGUCCGAUUAGCCGGACGGCGGGGUAACGGCCCACCGUGGCUACGAUCGGUAGGGGUUCUGAGAGGAAGGUCCCCCACACUGGAACUGAGACACGGUCCAGACGCCUACGGGAGGCAGCAGUGAGGAAGAUUGGGCAAUGGGCGUAAGCCUGAACCAGCCAAGUAGCGUGCAGGAUGACGGCCCUAUGGGUUGUAAACUGCUUUUAUGCGGGGAUAAAGUGGCCCACGUGUGGGCUUUUGCAGGUACCGCAUGAAUAAGGACCGGCUAAUUCCGUG
rnacentral:rRNA from 1 species